UUGCUUUGGCAGUACAGAUACUACAGUUGGAACGAUACAGCCAAGAUUAGCAUGGCCCCUGUAGGUAGACGAUCGGUAUACCCCAGAAGAUCCGUAUACCCUU